rnacentral:lncRNA from 1 species
AGUGAAGGCAGACAGAGACACGGGGAGGUACUGUAUCAGAGUGAAGGCAGACAGAGACACGGGGAGGUACUGUAUCAGAGUGAAGGCAGACAGACACGGGGAGGUACUGUAUCAGAGUGAAGGCAGACGCCAGAGACACGGGGAGGUACUGUAUCAGAGUGAAGGCAGACGCCAGAGACACGGGGAGGUACUGUAUCAGAGUGAAGGCAGACGCCAGAGACACGGGGAGGUACUGUAUCAGAGUGAAGGCAGACGCCAGAGACACGGGGAGGUACUGUAUCAGAGUGAAGGCAGACAGAGACACGG